GCCAGACUCCUACGGGAGGCAGCAGUGGGGAAUAUUGCACAAUGGGGGAAACCCUGAUGCAGCGACGCCGCGUGAGCGAAGAAGUAUCUCGGUAUGUAAAGCUCUAUCAGCAGGGAAGAAAAUGACGGUACCUGACUAAGAAGCCCCGGCUAACUACGUGCCAGCAGCCGCGGUAAUACGUAGGGGGCAAGCGUUAUCCGGAUUUACUGGGUGUAAAGGGAGCGCAGGCGGCGCGGUAAGUCUGAUGUGAAAGCCCGGGGCUCAACCCCGGGACUGCAUUUGGAACUGUGUGGCUGGAGUGUCGGAGAGGCAGGCGGAAUUCCUUGUGUAGCGGUGAAAUGCGUAGAUAUAAGGAAGAACACCAGUGGCGAAGGCGGAUUACUGGACGAUAACUGACGGUGAGGCGCGAAAGCGUGGGGAGCAAACAGGAUUAGAUACCCGUGUA
rnacentral:rRNA from 1 species